AGAGGGCACACGGCCACACUGGCACUGAAACACGGGCCAGACUCCUACGGGAGGCAGCAGUGGGGAAUCUUGCACAAUGGGGGAAACCCUGAUGCAGAGACGCCGCGUGAGCGAUGAAGCCCCUCGGGGUGUAAAGCUCUUUCGGCAGGGAAGAUAGUGACGGUACCUGCAGAAGCAGCUGCGGCUAACUACGUGCCAGCAGCCGCGGUAAUACGUAGGCAGCGAGCGUUGUUCGGAGUUACUGGGCGUAAAGGGUGUGUAGGCGGUUGUUUAAGUUUGGUGUGAAAUCUCCCGGCUCAACUGGGAGGGUGCGCCGAAUACUGAGCGACUAGAGUGCGGGAGAGGAAAGUGGAAUUCCUGGUGUAGCGGUGAAAUGCGUAGAUAUCAGGAGGAACACCGGUGGUGUAGACGGCUUUCUGGACCGUAACUGACGCUGAGACACGAAAGCGUGGGUAGCAAACAGGAUUAGAUACCCUGGUAGUCCACGCCCUAAACGAUGCAUAUUUGGUGUGGGCAGUUCAUUCUGUCCGUGCCGGAGCUAACGCGUUAAAUAUGCCGCCUGGGGAGUACAGUCGCAAGGCUGAAACUCAAAGGAAUUGACG
rnacentral:rRNA from 1 species